rnacentral:rRNA from 1 species
UAUUAUUUAAAAUGUAAAGUUUAAUAUUAAAGUAGUAAUAGUUAUGUUCUUGAAACUUAAAAAAUUUGGCGGUAUUUUAGUCUAUCCAGAGGAACCUGUUUUGUAAUCGAUAAUCCACGAUGGACCUUACUUAAAUUUGUAAUCAGUUUAUAUACCGUCGUUAUCAGAAUAUUUUAUAAGAAUAAUAAUAUUCAAUAAUUUUUAUUAAAAUUUAUAUCAGAUCAAGGUGUAGCUUAUAUUUAUGUAAUAAUGGGUUACAAUAAAUUUAUUUAAACGAAUAAAAUUAUGAAAAAAUUUUUGAAGGUGGAUUUGGUUGUAAAAUUAUAAAGAUUAAUAAUUUGAUUUUAGCUCUAAAAUAUGUACACAUCGCCCGUCGCUCUUAUUAUUAAGGUAAGAUAAGUCGUAACAUAGUAGAUGUACUGGAAAGUGUAUCUAGAAUGA